UACGUAGGGUGCGAGCGUUAAUCGGAAUUACUGGGCGUAAAGCGCACGUAGGCGGCCUGUUAAGUCGGGUGUGAAAGCCCUGGGCUCAACCCAGGAAGUGCACUCGAAACUGGCGGGCUUGAAUAUGGAAGAGGGUCGCGGAAUUCCCGGUGUAGAGGUGAAAUUCGUAGAUAUCGGGAGGAACACCAGUGGCGAAGGCGGCGACCUGGGCCAAUAUUGACGCUGAGG
rnacentral:rRNA from 1 species